rnacentral:rRNA from 1 species
AAAAACUCCGGUGGUAUGAGAUGGACCCGCGUCUGAUUAGCUAGUUGGUGAGGUAACGGCCCACCAAGGCGACGAUCAGUAGCCGGCCUGAGAGGGCGACCGGCCACAUUGGGACUGAGACACGGCCCAAACUCCUACGGGAGGCAGCAGUGGGGAAUAUUGCACAAUGGGGGAAACCCCGAUGCAGCGACGCCGCGUGAGUGAAGAAGUAUUUCGGUAUGUAAAGCUCUAUCAGCAGGGAAGAAGAAAGACGGUACCUGACUAAGAAGCCCCGGCUAACUACGUGCCAGCAGCCGCGGUAAUACGUAGGGGGCAAGCGUUAUCCGGAUUUACUGGGUGUAAAGGGAGCGUAGACGGCUGUGCAAGUCUGAAGUGAAAGCCCAGGGCUCAACCCUGGGACUGCUUUGGAAACUGUGGAGCUAGAGUGCUGGAGAGGUAAGUGGAAUUCCUAGUGUAGCGGCGAAAUGCGUAGAUAUUAGGAGGAACACCAGUGGCGAAGGCGGCUUACUGGACAGUAACUGACGUUGAGGCUCGAAAGCGUGGGGAGCAAACAGGAUUAGAUACCCUGGUAGUCCACGCGGUAAACGAUGAAUACUAGGUGUUGGAGAGCAAAGCUUUUCG